rnacentral:tRNA from 1 species
GAGGAUGUAGCUCAGUUGGUAGAGUGCUUGCCUUGCAUGCACAAGACCCUGGGUUCAAUCCCUGGCACCACA